rnacentral:tRNA from 1 species
GCGACACUAGCUCAGCUGGUAGAGCGCAACCUUGCCAAGGUUGAGGUCACGAGU